rnacentral:tRNA from 1 species
GGCCCAGUGGCUCAGUUGGUGAGAGCGCCGCCCUGUCACGGCGGAGGUCACGGGUUCGAGUCCCGUCUGGGUCG